rnacentral:rRNA from 1 species
UUAAGUUAAUAAGGGCGCACGGUGGAUGCCUUGGCACUAGGAGCCGACGAAGGACGUGACAAACGACGAUAUGCCUUGGGUAGCUGUAAGUAAGCGAUGAUCCAGGGAUUUCCGAAUGGGGGAACCCAACAGGUAGUACCUGUUACCCAUAUCUGUUAAGGAUGUGAGGAGGAAGACGCAGUGAACUGAAACAUCUAAGUAGCUGCAGGAAGAGAAAGCAAAAGCGAUUGCCUUAGUAGCGGCGAGCGAAACGGCAGAAGGGCAAACCGAAGAGUUUACUCUUCGGGGUUGUAGGACUGCAAUGUGGACUCAAAGAUUAUAGAAGAAUGAUUUGGGAAGAUCAGCCAAAGAGAGUAAUAGCCUCGUAUUUAAAAUAGUCUUUGUACCUAGCAGUAUCCUGAGUACGGCGGGACACGUGAAAUCCCGUCGGAAUCUGGGAGGACCAUCUCCCAACCCUAAAUACUCCCUAGUGACCGAUAGUGAACCAGUACCGUGAGGGAAAGGUGAAAAGCACCCCGGGAGGGGAGUGAAAUAGAACCUGAAACCGUGUGCCUACAACAAGUUCGAGCCCGUUAAUGGGUGAGAGCGUGCCUUUUGUAGAAUGAACCGGCGAGUUACGUUAUGAUGCGAGGUUAAGUUGAAGAGACGGAGCCGUAGGGAAACCGAGUCUGAAUAGGGCGCCUUAGUAUCAUGACGUAGACCCGAAACCAUGUGACCUACCCAUGAGCAGGUUGAAGGUGCGGUAAGACGCACUGGAGGACCGAACCAGGGCACGUUGAAAAGUGCUUGGAUGACUUGUGGGUAGCGGAGAAAUUCCAAACGAACUUGGAGAUAGCUGGUUCUCUCCGAAAUAGCUUUAGGGCUAGCGUCGACAUUAGAGAUUCUUGGAGGUAGAGCACUGUUUGGGUGAGGGGUCCAUCCCGGAUUACCAAUCUCAGAUAAACUCCGAAUGCCAAUGAAUUAUGGUCGGCAGUCAGACUGCGAGUGCUAAGAUCCGUAGUCGAAAGGGAAACAGCCCAGACCACCAGCUAAGGUCCCAAAAUAAUUGUUAAGUGGAAAAGGAUGUGGGGUUGCACAGACAACUAGGAUGUUAGCUUAGAAGCAGCUAUUCAUUCAAAGAGUGCGUAAUAGCUCACUAGUCGAGUGACCCUGCGCCGAAAAUGUACCGGGGCUAAAACAAUUUACCGAAGCUGUGGAUACCUUUAUAGGUAUGGUAGGAGAGCGUUCUAUGUGUGAUGAAGGUAUACCGUGAGGAGUGCUGGAACGCAUAGAAGUGAGAAUGCCGGUAUGAGUAGCGAAAGACAGGUGAGAAUCCUGUCCACCGUAAGACUAAGGUUUCCAGGGGAAGGCUCGUCCGCCCUGGGUUAGUCGGGACCUAAGGAGAGACCGAAAGGUGUAUCCGAUGGACAACAGGUUGAUAUUCCUGUACUAGAGUAUGUAGUGAUGGAGGGACGCAGUAGGCUAACUAAAGCAGACGAUUGGAAGAGUCUGUCUAAGCAGUGAGGUGUGAAUUGAGUCAAAUGCUUAAUUCUAUAACAUUGAGCUGUGAUGGGGAGCGAAGUUUAGUAGCGAAGUUAGUGACGUCACACUGCCAAGAAAAGCUUCUAGCGUUUAAACAUACUCUACCCGUACCGCAAACCGACACAGGUAGUCGAGGCGAGUAGCCUCAGGUGAGCGAGAGAACUCUCGUUAAGGAACUCGGCAAAAUGACCCCGUAACUUCGGGAGAAGGGGUGCUGACUUAAAGUCAGCCGCAGUGAAUAGGCCCAAGCAACUGUUUAUCAAAAACACAGCUCUCUGCUAAAUCGUAAGAUGAUGUAUAGGGGGUGACGCCUGCCCGGUGCUGGAAGGUUAAGAGGAGUGCUUAGCGUAAGCGAAGGUAUGAAUUGAAGCCCCAGUAAACGGCGGCCGUAACUAUAACGGUCCUAAGGUAGCGAAAUUCCUUGUCGGGUAAGUUCCGACCCGCACGAAAGGCGUAAUGAUUUGGGCACUGUCUCAACGAGAGACUCGGUGAAAUUUUAGUACCUGUGAAGAUGCAGGUUACCCGCGACAGGACGGAAAGACCCCAUGGAGCUUUACUGCAGUUUGAUAUUGAGUGUCUGUACCACAUGUACAGGAUAGGUAGGAGUCUAAGAGAUCGGGACGCCAGUUUCGAAGGAGACGCUGUUGGGAUACUACCCUUGUGUUAUGGCCACUCUAACCCAGAUAGGUGAUCCCUAUCGGAGACAGUGUCUGACGGGCAGUUUGACUGGGGCGGUCGCCUCCUAAAAGGUAACGGAGGCGCCCAAAGGUUCCCUCAGAAUGGUUGGAAAUCAUUCGCAGAGUGUAAAGGUAUAAGGGAGCUUGACUGCGAGAGCUACAACUCGAGCAGGGACGAAAGUCGGGCUUAGUGAUCCGGUGGUUCCGUAUGGAAGGGCCAUCGCUCAACGGAUAAAAGCUACCCUGGGGAUAACAGGCUUAUCUCCCCCAAGAGUUCACAUCGACGGGGAGGUUUGGCACCUCGAUGUCGGCUCGUCGCAUCCUGGGGCUGUAGUCGGUCCCAAGGGUUGGGCUGUUCGCCCAUUAAAGCGGCACGCGAGCUGGGUUCAGAACGUCGUGAGACAGUUCGGUCCCUAUCCGUCGCGGGCGUAGGAAAUUUGAGAGGAUCUGCUCCUAGUACGAGAGGACCAGAGUGGACUUACCGCUGGUGUACCAGUUGUCUUGCCAAAGGCAUCGCUGGGUAGCUAUGUAGGGAAGGGAUAAACGCUGAAAGCAUCUAAGUGUGAAACCCACCUCAAGAUGAGAUUUCCCAUGAUUAUAUAUCAGUAAGAGCCCUGAGAGAUGAUCAGGUAGAUAGGUUAGAAGUGGAAGUGUGGCGACACAUGUAGCGGACUAAUACUAAUAGCUCGAGGACUUAUCCAA